AGUGAACGCUGGCGGUAGGCCUAACACAUGCAAGUCGAACGGCAGCACAGGAGAGCUUGCUCUCUGGGUGGCGAGUGGCGGACGGGUGAGGAAUACAUCGGAAUCUACUCUGUCGUGGGGGAUAACGUAGGGAAACUUACGCUAAUACCGCAUACGACCUACGGGUGAAAGCAGGGGACCUUCGGGCCUUGCGCGAUUGAAUGAGCCGAUGUCGGAUUAGCUAGUUGGCGGGGUAAAGGCCCACCAAGGCGCCGAUCCGUAGCGGGUCUGGGGGGAUGAUCAGCCACACUGGAACUGAGACAGGGUCCAGACUCCUCCGGGAGGCAGCAGUGGGGAAUAUUGGACAAGGGGCGCAAGCCUGAUCCAGCCAUACCGCGUGGGUGAAGAAGGCCUUCGGGUUGUAAAGCCCUUUUGUUGGGAAAGAAAUCCAGCUGGCUAAUACCCGGUUGGGAUGACGGUACCCAAAGAAUAAGCACCGGCUAACUUCGUGCCAGCCGCCGCGGUAA
rnacentral:rRNA from 1 species